UUUCCGUAGGUGAACCUGCGGAAGGAUCAUUAAUGAAAUGCAAGGGCGCUCUUUUUAGAGGUCCGACCAAAUCAUUCCUUUCACCCUGUGCACAUUACUUUUUUACAUCAUUUUAAACACCAUAGUCUUAGAAUGUCAACAGUCUCCUCACGGAGCAUAAACAUAAUAAAACUUUCGGCAACGGAUCUCUUGGCUCCCGCAUCGAUGAAGAACGCAGC
rnacentral:misc_RNA from 1 species